AGCGUACACGGUGGAUGCCCUGGCAGUCAGAGGCGAUGAAGGACGUGCUAAUCUGCGAAAAGCGCCGGUAAGGUGAUAUGAACCGUUAUAACCGGCGAUGUCCGAAUGGGGAAACCCGGUGCACUUCGGUGCAUCAUCGUUAGCUGAAUACAUAGGCUAACGAGGCGAACCGGGGGAACUGAAACAUCUAAGUACCCCGAGGAAAAGAAAUCAACCGAGAUUCCCCCAGUAGCGGCGAGCGAACGGGGAACAGCCCAGAGCCUGAAUCAGCUUGUGUGUCAGUGGAACGGUCUGGAAAGGCCGGCGAUACAGGGUGACAGCCCCGUACACGAAGGCACACAGGCUGUGAGCUCGAUGAGUAGGGCGGGACACGUGAUAUCCUGUCUGAAGAUGGGGGGACCAUCCUCCAAGGCUAAAUACUCCUGACUGACCGAUAGUGAACCAGUACCGUGAGGGAAAGGCGAAAAGAACCCCGGCGAGGGGAGUGAAACAGAACCUGAAACCGUGUACGUACAAGCAGUGGGAGCCUUCGUAAGAGGGUGACUGCGUACCUUUUGUAUAAUGGGUCAGCGACUUAUAUUCUGUAGCAAGGUUAACCGUAUAGGGGAGCCGAAGGGAAACCGAGUCUUAACCGGGCGUUAAGUUGCAGGGUAUAGACCCGAAACCCGGUGAUCUAGCCAUGGGCAGGUUGAAGGUUGGGUAACACUAACUGGAGGACCGAACCGACUAAUGUUGAAAAAUUAGCGGAUGACCUGUGGCUGGGGGUGAAAGGCCAAUCAAACCGGGAGAUAGCUGGUUCUCCCCGAAAGCUAUUUAGGUAGCGCCUCGUGAACUCAUCUCCGGGGGUAGAGCACUGUUUCGGCUAGGGGGCCAUCCCGGCUUACCAACCCGAUGCAAACUGCGAAUACCGGAGAAUGUUAUCACGGGAGACACACGGCGGGUGCUAACGUCCGUCGUGAAGAGGGAAACAACCCAGACCGCCAGCUAAGGUCCCAAAGUCAUGGUUAAGUGGGAAACGAUGUGGGAAGGCCCAGACAGCCAGGAUGUUGGCUUAGAAGCAGCCAUCAUUUAAAGAAAGCGUAAUAGCUCACUGGUCGAGUCGGCCUGCGCGGAAGAUGUAACGGGGCUAAACCAUGCACCGAAGCUGCGGCAGCGACACUAUGUGUUGUUGGGUAGGGGAGCGUUCUGUAAGCCUGUGAAGGUGUGCUGUGAGGCAUGCUGGAGGUAUCAGAAGUGCGAAUGCUGACAUAAGUAACGAUAAAGCGGGUGAAAAGCCCGCUCGCCGGAAGACCAAGGGUUCCUGUCCAACGUUAAUCGGGGCAGGGUGAGUCGACCCCUAAGGCGAGGCCGAAAGGCGUAGUCGAUGGGAAACAGGUUAAUAUUCCUGUACUUGGUGUUACUGCGAAGGGGGGACGGAGAAGGCUAUGUCGGCCGGGCGACGGUUGUCCCGGUUUAAGCGUGUAGGCUGACUUUCCAGGCAAAUCCGGAAGGUUAAGGCUGAGGCGUGAUGACGAGGCACCACGGUGCUGAAGUGACAAAUGCCCUGCUUCCAGGAAAAGCCUCUAAGCAUCAGGUAACAUCAAAUCGUACCCCAAACCGACACAGGUGGUCAGGUAGAGAAUACCAAGGCGCUUGAGAGAACUCGGGUGAAGGAACUAGGCAAAAUGGUGCCGUAACUUCGGGAGAAGGCACGCUGACAUGUAGGUGAAGCCCCUGCGGGUGGAGCUGAAGUCAGUCGAAGAUACCAGCUGGCUGCAACUGUUUAUUAAAAACACAGCACUGUGCAAACACGAAAGUGGACGUAUACGGUGUGACGCCUGCCCGGUGCCGGAAGGUUAAUUGAUGGGGUUAUCGCAAGAGAAGCUCCUGAUCGAAGCCCCGGUAAACGGCGGCCGUAACUAUAACGGUCCUAAGGUAGCGAAAUUCCUUGUCGGGUAAGUUCCGACCUGCACGAAUGGCGUAAUGAUGGCCAGGCUGUCUCCACCCGAGACUCAGUGAAAUUGAACUCGCUGUGAAGAUGCAGUGUACCCGCGGCAAGACGGAAAGACCCCGUGAACCUUUACUACAGCUUGACACUGAACAUUGAGCCUUGAUGUGUAGGAUAGGUGGGAGGCUUUGAAGCGUGGACGCCAGUCUGCGUGGAGCCGACCUUGAAAUACCACCCUUUAAUGUUUGAUGUUCUAACCUGGCGCCGUGAUCCGGCGUGGGGACAGUGUCUGGUGGGUAGUUUGACUGGGGCGGUCUCCUCCCAAAGUGUAACGGAGGAGCACGAAGGUCAGCUAAUCCUGGUCGGACAUCAGGAGGUUAGUGCAAUGGCAUAAGCUGGCUUGACUGCGAGAGUGACGGCUCGAGCAGGUGCGAAAGCAGGUCAUAGUGAUCCGGUGGUUCUGUAUGGAAGGGCCAUCGCUCAACGGAUAAAAGGUACUCCGGGGAUAACAGGCUGAUACCGCCCAAGAGUUCAUAUCGACGGCGGUGUUUGGCACCUCGAUGUCGGCUCAUCACAUCCUGGGGCUGAAGUAGGUCCCAAGGGUAUGGCUGUUCGCCAUUUAAAGUGGUACGCGAGCUGGGUUUAGAACGUCGUGAGACAGUUCGGUCCCUAUCUGCCGUGGGCGCUGGAGAAUUGAGGGGGGCUGCUCCCAGUACGAGAGGACCGGAGUGGACGCAUCACUGGUGUUCGGGUUGUCAUGCCAAUGGCACUGCCCGGUAGCUAAAUGCGGAAGAGAUAAGUGCUGAAAGCAUCUAAGCACGAAACUUGCCCCGAGAUGAGUUCU
rnacentral:rRNA from 1 species